rnacentral:lncRNA from 1 species
AAUCUCUCUUCCUUUUUACAAAAACUUCUUGUUGUAUUUAUAAGCUGUGGUUUUCUGUUGACUCUUUUUGUCUUACUCUGUACAAGUCAUUUCCAAUACUUUAAAGGUAGUAACAGUAAUAAUACUAUUUCCAAAGUUCCUGCGGUACCUAAGAAACCCACCCGGGAUGCUGCUCCCCCUGUUCCUGCAGUGAAGGAGUACGAAUAUGAGUAUGAGGAGUAUGAGAAGUAUGAGACCUAUGAGGCUAUAGAAGAGUUUGAGGUUCCAGAACAUGAAGAGAUUGAGUAUGAGGAGAUUCUGGAACCUGAAGAGAUCUAUGAGGAGGUUCCAGAGCCUGAAGAGAUCUAUGAGGAGGUUCCAGAGCCUGAAGAGAUCUAUGAGGAGGUUCCGGAGCCUGAAGAGAUUGAGGAGUAUGAGGAGGUUCCAGAGCCUGAAGAGGUCUAUGAGAAAUAUGAGGAGGUUCAGGUGAUUGAAGAAGUCUAUGAGAAGCAUGAGGAGGUUAAGAAGGCUGAAGAGGCUUAUGAGGUCACACUGGCUAUAGUGCCUGAAGUGCCUAAGAGACCUGUGCCAGAAGAAAAAGUACCUGUUGCUGUUCCUAAAAAAGAAGCUCCGCCAGCUAAAGUUCCUGCACUGCGUAAGAAACCAGUCCCAGAAGAAAAAGUACCUGUCGCUGUUCCUAAAAAAGAAGUGGCUCCCCCAGCUAAAGUGCCUGAAGUACAUAAGAGAGCUGUACAGGAAGAGAAAGUAACUUUGGCUGUUCCUAAAAGGAAGGAGCCUCCACCAGUUAAAGGUACAUGA